AAAAAAAAAAAAAAAAAAGGAUCUUCACUAUCUUUUUCUACCAUCAGAAGGGUGGUGGUGACAUAACAUUCCUUGCACCUGUAAGAAAGAGAACUGAUACAUCAUUCAUUUAAUAGAGACAUCACACCAUAAGCAAAUAAAUCAGCCAGCGAAAAAUAUAGAAGAUUAAUAUACAUGUGCACAAACAUGCUUGCAGAAUCUUAAACUUGGUGGAUGAUGAUUUAAGUCCAAAAAUGACAAAAGCAAGCAUAACACAUCAAUAAACACAGUAUAUGCGAAAAAUUGAAACUUAAGGUGCAAAACAAGUAGACUGAGGGGACAAAUCUAACAACAGGAAAAGACUUAUAUAAAGUUAAAUCACUCGAGAUCAAUGAAGACUGACCAAAGUGAUGAUGAAAUAAAUCACAGCAUCAAGAAAACCACUGGAAACUCAACAGAAGGGGUGAAAGUCAUGGCAAUAAAGGCUUGAUUUUCUUUUUUGCCCUAGGAUAGAUUCCUCAAGAUUUUCUUGGUCAUUCUCAUCAGUUUCAUUCUCUACAAUAGAUUCCUCAAAAGUUUCGAACUCAAUCUUAUCAUCUUGGAUUUCAACACAUGAAGAUUUAACAAUCAGUGCUCUGAAAUCUUCAAGUUGCUCUUCAAGCUCUUCACUAUCAAAUUCUUAUUUUGCAUCCUGUUGAUUUGUAAUUACAUCUUCAACAACUCUUGAUAUUGCUUCCAGCUUUGCUUUUAGCCUAUCCAAAGUUUAUCCAAGGUACUUCUCAUAUUUUCCUUGAGUUUUUUCUUCAAAUUAAACAUUGGAGUAAGCAUCAUAAGCCAAAUAGUUAGAAUUUGUUUGUGAUUGAAAUAAAGUUCUCCAAAAUGCUAUAUAUUCUUUCCUCCUUAGUUCAAGUUCUCUCUCCCUAACUCACAAAAAUUAUUUUAUAAAAUAAGUCAGGAGGACAAUAUAGAGCACCACCUUGUAGUCAUUUAAUUACAGCCUACACGAAGUCUAACCAAGGGGGGAAAAACACACACACACACACACAAUUUAAAAGUCUUAUCAGCCCUAAAUAUUUGUUUCUACUCAAAAUAAAUGUGAAAAUUGGAAACAGAAUCUACUGGCACCACAGGGUGCUGAUGUGGCACUACUUGAUGAUGUGGCAGGGUGCUGGCACAGGAUCAGGUGCAAAAAGACUCACAGUAGCAAUUUGAGCUACUAUUGAAGCAGACUUGACCCAACUCGGAAUGUGAGGGCGUGUUAAUGGUCAGACAAGCAAUCCAACCAUGGCAAUGUGAUGAUUGGCACGUGCAAACCUCCGGGGAGUGUUGCACUAACAAAAUCAAGGUCAAAGUUCAUUCAGGUCGAACUCAACCUGAAUGAAAACUAGAUUUGUGGUGGCUUCUAACAGUCAAAGCUACACCAGUGACGUCACUUGGACAAGAGCAGUUGCUUGGCAGUGCAGUUGUCUAGUGACCAAACAUAGUGGCUUAUGAUUACAAUAACUAGGCUUUAUCUCACGACAGAAAUAGAAAACAGGGCUCUGACCUCUGCGAAAGAACUCAUCAGGUGAGGGGCUUGUAAACUUGCGGGAAAUGCAAUGGCAUUGGG
rnacentral:misc_RNA from 1 species